rnacentral:lncRNA from 1 species
AUGGAUAAACUGUGUGGUGUUACAGGUGGAAACGGCAUGAAUGUAUAUUACUGCGACACUGAAAACUGUGUCAAUGAUGUAAAGCGUGUUUACUGUGAAGAUCUAGAGCUCCUGGGUUUCAAAUUGUCAGAGAUUUCAAAUUGUUCCUACGGUCCGCUUCCACCCAAUACCAUCUGCCAACACAGAGGCCACUUGUUUGUCUCCACCUUCUUAAAGUCCUGUGAAUUUGAAGGGGACACUGACUAUAUAGAGACCAAAAAUUGUACAGACUGCUCUUUUUUAAAUAGAGCUACCACACCGGCAGUCACCCCAAGCACUGUGGAAACAUCUUCGCAGCCCAAUUCCAAACUUCUAGGUGUCGUGCCCGCAGUAGCCUGUAAGUGUGGAGACACAGUUAGUUGCCAUACUUACUGCCAUACAUGUUUUUGAGUAUAGCUUCUGCUACUAACACAGCUUGUUUUCACUAUGCAAAUUUAAUCUAAACUAUAACCUAUUUUAUUUUUUUGUUUUUGAAACAGGUUCUACAGGUGUGGUACUGCUGUUAGCGGGUUUCUUUUACAGAAAAGCAAAAAAUCAGCAACAACAAAGGUAACUAAAAUUAAAAAAUAACUUGACUAAUUUGAUAAAAGUAUCCAAAUUUAAAAUAAUGUUUUGUAUCUUUAGACAGACUCAAACCAGUCCUGGGUUGCAGAAUGACAGCUCAUUAGUCUAAUGCCUUGGAUCUAACAUCAUACUCCUUGUUCGAGGCCAGGGCAUGCCUCCACUAAGGGUCCUUCCUGCUACCCAAGCCUACUGUGAGGGACAACUGUAGCCAUGCCGGCUCGGACGUCGUCUUGAUUAAGGUCUGCAUGAGGUGUUGAAGAACCAGAAGAGUUUACAUAAGCAGACAGCAUCAUUCUGAUGCUCGCACUUUUGGCUAGUACUUAAAUAGGGCUUUUCCAAGUGAUGGCAACAUCAAGAAGAAGGAAUGCUCAAUAGCAGAAUAAGCUGUUUAGUACUACCUGAAAGAAUUUGCCAAGUUUUUCAUGGGGGAAAUCCAAAAAUGUAUUUUCCUCACAAAUGUGACACAUUUAUGUGGAAAUACACAGGCUUUCCAACAUGGAAGUACAAAGAAGGAUUGUUACAACCAACUUUAUAUUAUCUGUAGAUGUAUUAUUAUGUGUGUAAAAAGAAAAUAAUCAUAUUUCUAACCAAAAUGGUUUUCCCUCUUUAAAAUUGUUUAUUUAUUCUUCUUCUCAUUAUGUUCUCUAUGAGACUGGCUGUUGUCAGGGCCCAUUUGUGCCCCUUUACAUACUUUUUUUUUAAUCCAGUGGUGCACUGAAUGAGAAGCAGGAAAGGAAGUGUACAUUUGAUUCAAAGAAAUGGGAUGUAGUCUAUAUUUACAGCUAUAUGCAGUAAACUUUGUUAUUAGAGACAAGGACAUUUAGUUAUUUCUGAACAUGUGUAAGGCUGUCAAACAGUAAUUGUUUUGGCCUUUUCUGAGAAGAAAACAGUUCUUUAUAGCACCUAAAAGUAUCACUACAGAAAUAUGCAUUGGUGGAUUUCUUUACAGAGAAGUGGGUGAAAAUUCCUCCAGAGCUGUGUGCAAACUUAUGCUUUUCAGCAAGGAUUCCUCCAUCAUGUAUCACAUCAGUGGUUCCCAAACUUUUUUUUUGCUAGUUUGGGCACAAACACAUCCUUCAACCACACACACCCAUUUUUGUUUUUCAAACUCCAUUGCAGUUUAUUUCACACCUCAAACCUUUUGUAAACAGUGAAACACAGAAAAGUAAACUGUAAUAAAUUACAGCUUGCAAUAAUAAACCACUAAACAAACCAUCUUUAUGGUGAAAUUAUUUUACGUAUAGUUGUUGUUGUUUUUUUACUGUGUAAGAAUAUUCAACCAUGCUAUCAAUACAUUUUUCAAAAAAUGUCUCUCUGUGCAAAAUGAGUUUAAAAACAUAAACAACUGUGGGAUACUGUUUGUCAGUGAUUUGAACCAGGAAAACAAACUGUGGCAGGAUCAGCCUGAUAUUAUUUGUAUCCCACUGUAACUUUACUGUAUAAAGAGCUAACAUCGCCAAAAUUUCAUUAUAAGAAGUGUUUGUGAAUUAAAAAUCAAGAAUGUGGGAUACUGUUUGUCCGUGAUUUGAACAGUCCAGCGCAUGCUCCUGACGCAGGGGAAACAAAUUCUGUCGGGGAGACCAACCUUGGCAGCACCAUUGUGCAGG